rnacentral:lncRNA from 1 species
UCUCUCUGCUCCAGAGAGGAGUCGCCCCAUUCAUUCAUUCACUCAUUCAUUCAGUCACAUGCUCCGGCAUGACCUUGGGUGCUCUCUGCCUCAGUUCCCUCAUCUGUUAAUGGUGGCCGGCAGGGGCAGGGCGUAGGGCCAGGGAACAAGCGUGUUCCUCCGUGGACGGCGUCUGGGAGGGGGCGAGCUCUCCAUUAGCCUCAAACCGUGACCCUUACCGACGCAGACAUUUUCGCCGGGGCCGGGGGGCGGCGGAGGGAGGCGGCGUGCUGGCACCCACGGCCCUCUCCUGGGGUGGGACCCGCCACUCACCCCCUCACCUCCCCCCCCAGGGGCAACUCCAAGUACCACUACUACGGGCUGCGCAUCAAGCCCAACUCGCCCCUGCUGCGGCUGCUGGAGGACCAGCAGCACAUGGCCACGCGCAGCCAGCCCUUCUCGCAGAAGCAGAGGAUCAAGUCCAUCCAGAAGGUGGAGGGGAUGGCCAACGGCGUGGCCGUGGGCCCGCAGCAGGCCGCGGGGCUGGCGGACAUCAGCGCCCAGGUCCAGCAGUACCAGCAGUUCCUGGAUGCCUCGCGCAGCCUCCCGGACUUCACGGAGCUCGACCUCCAGGGCAAAGCCCUGCCCGAGGGCGUCGGGCCUGGGGACGUCAAGGCCUUCCAGGUCCUGUACCGGGAGCAUUGCGAGGUAGGGGGCCCGUGAGGGGGGGGCCCUGAGGUGGGGAGCCUGGGAGGUGGGAAACGAAAUGAGGUGGGGAGUGCUCCUGUGGGACCCUGUGAGGGGGGAGCACUCUGGUAGGGAGCACUCUGAGGUAGGGAACUCUCUGAGGUGGGGAGCCCAGUGAGGGGGGAGCACUCUGAGGUGGGGAGCAUUCUUAGGGGGAGCCCAGUGAGGGGGGAUCUUUUUGAGGUGGGGAGUGCAUUUAUUGUGACCUCUGUGAGGGGGGAGUGCUGA